AAGGUGGUCGCCGCCUUAGGAAAAUGAAGGAAAGAUAUGUUAUUACCGAUAUGCGGAAACUGGCCAACAGAAUGCAGUUUGGAGUGCCUGAAGAAAGUUCAUUGGGGGAUGGGUUAGGAGAAGGAUAUGGUAUGCUUGGUCAAGCUGGAAACGGGAAGUUGCGUGUCUCGGUUGCUCAAAGCAAGCUUGCUGCCAAAGUCGC